GAAGAAUGGUGGAUAUCUCAAGGUUAAGGGGUGAGAAUCAUAUUUGUGUUCCAUCCUACUUGGUAUUAUUAUACAACAUAUAUCAAUCUGGAAAUUAUUGCAGGUUUCACAUCCAUACACCCCAAACUCAUUUCGAUACCUGGUUAUACUGCAGGUAGAAUUCAAAGCUGGCCGCUGAACAAGGGAGUGAUGUUUGUGAGAUUUGUAUUUUAUUCUUGUUGGUAAGAAUGCACAACGGAUAUCAACAUAGAUAUCACAAGUCUGGCAGUGAUAGUAGAAUCCAUUUGUCCAAAAGCCGCAAACUUCACAGACCACAGUAUCAUAAAAUUUAUCCUUCAUCUGAAGCAUGAGAGAAUGGUGGGGGUGAAAAUGCAAUGCUCCUACAGGCAACUUCUGUGGCAACUUAGUCGCACAGAAGGAAUGGAUGAAGAAACCACACUCUAUACAAGCGUAGUAAGACGGAUGGGAAACGGUUAUAGGUUGAAUACACCCGUUGCAUAUCAGCUCUCUCCUAUCAUCAUCACUGUCAUCGCUGUCAUUGUCACAGGUGGGAAACUGGAGCUGUUUUAAUGGAUGGAUCUGGUGACUCCAGUGUUUUUCAAUAAUGUGUGGAUCAUUAGAUGUUACUGACAUCGCAACACUGAUUUCAUCUUCACCUUCAAAGUUGACUUGGGAUUUGCAACACUGAGUCACAAUGAGAUUAAACAUUGAUUCCUGGCUUUGCAGAGGAAACAGUACCAGAUCAGGAUCAAUAUCGAUGUCAUCUACUUCAUUCUCAUUUGUGAAAACAAAAAAUUAAAAUUAAUUCAGAGAUGAUUAACACAUGAGCUCAUGAAAAUUUAGAGAAGAGAUGAUGUGAAUAACAAAGUGAAAAUAAAUUAAAAGGUACUUACACCAUGGAUAUUGUGGAUGUAGAACAUUUCAUGUGCACAAAAUAUGAGUACCUGUCGCAAUAAUACACCCAGCUCCUGCGGUAAACAAAUCGGCGGCAGAUACCACAGUAUUGGUUAAAGACGAGAUGAAUGUCAGGUAUAGAGUAGACGAGAGUGAGAGGGUGAUUGUGAUAAGUAGGCGAUGGAAUACUCAAGGGUGAAAAGGCGCAGGUCUUGUGAAUCCAGAACUCACAGGUGGUGCAAACAUAUGAAGAGUCGUUCGCUUUCUCAUGACAGGCUUCCUUGUUCAUUAACGUCAGCGUGCUCCUUGUGUCCUUCAUGAUGAAGCACCCUCUGCUCCAAACCACAAAACACACACACAUCAAAGUCACAAUCAACACAUGCAUAAGAGACCUUAAUGACACGAUAACAAAUAUCACAGGUGUAAUCAUCAGGUCGUGGAAGGAGAGAAAGAGGAUGGAUGGUGUGUUUGUGGUGGUUAAUUUGCUGGGGGAAUUCUGCACAAGUCUUAUGCAAGUAGAAAUUUUGACAAGCAACAUCGUCAUUACAACUAACACAGGUAUAUGUUGGGGAGCCUGCGACUCGUUUUUAGCAAAUAAUGCAAGCAGCAUCCUCUGCAAAAAUAAAAUCCUGUUGUAAGCUUAAUGAAUGCUCAUGUAGAUAAACAGAUAUGGGUAAUUCUGCACAAGUCGACUUGUGCAGGUAGAAACUUCGAAGAUCAUUGUGUCCAAUACAGAAAUAUAUAUCAGAGCCCUGAACUGAUUUGUUGCACGUAUGGCAUAUAAAAUCAUUUCUUUCAACAAUACACUCUGUGAAUGUGUACCCCGAAUUGCUGAAGAACUCCAACACUGAAAUCAUUUUUGGUUGAGAGAAGAGAUUUAAAGAUGGGUUUCAAGGUUCUCAGUGGCCUAACAAAUUUGUUCUUGGGGUUCUAGGGUCGAACAUACAUAUUUAUAUAUAAGACGAUAGCCGGCUAUAUUAAUUAACACCGAAAAACUAAACUAAUUAACAGCAUUAAACUAUACUGUUACCCGAGUAAAUUAAUUCUGGAUCAAGGCAUGGGUCGAAUAAAACUUGUAAAAACAGUUCAAUUGGGUGACUUGGGUCUAUUCAAGGGCUCAAAGGUAGACUGACUUCGCAUCUCUUUAAUAAUUUCAUAGAGAGCAGGCCGGCUCAAGAUAAUAAUAAAAUAUUUUGUCAAAAAUAUUUAAUCUUAUUAACUCAUCUUUCCUUUAUGCAAUUAAAGAGAUAUAUGUACAUAUACAUACUCCCUCCGUUUCAAUUUACAUGUCCACUUCCAUGAAAAAAUUUUGUUUCAAAUUACUUGUCCAUUUAAACUUUCAAUGCAAAAUCAUAUUUCCAAAAUCAUUUCUACUCCACAUAUUUCUUAUUUAUAUUUCUUAGAUCAAUCUCACUUCACAUAUUUUGAUCAUUUAAUACAAUUAAUUUGUGAACAUCCACUUUUCUUAAACUAUGUGAUUUUUUUAAAGUGGACAUCUAAUUUGAAACGGAGGGAGCAGAUGAUAUGCACGAGAGUCCACAAUCAAGAAAUAAAUAAGUAUCAAUUUAUAUUUUUCUCAUGCAUCGGGACAUAUGUCGAAUAACGUUAGAUCACAUAUCGUUGUUGUAUUCACAUCACAUUUGAAUUAAUAUACUUCAUUUUUUCAUAUCGCAUUCGCCUUUCACAUCCCAUUUGCAUUAGUAUACUCCAAUCUAAUAUUCCUAACAACCAUAUAAUAAUAUGAUAGAUACCUUUCACACCCCAUUUACAUUAAUAUACUUCAUUCUUUUAUAAAAGUAUCUCCAACAGCGUUGGCUAUAAUUGUUGGCUAAAUUGAACCAGUAAGACAUUAGGUAAAAUUUGCUGAACCUAUUUAAAAAUAGAAUGUUAUUAAUAUUUUAGUUUGUUAAAAUAAAAUAUAUCAGUUUAAUAUGGUAAUAAAUGAUGUGCAAUCAUCCUACAGAUUUCUGACAGACCUGCAAGGUUCGACAAAUAUAGCCAUCCAUAGAAGGUUGGCUAAAAUUAUAGACAACAAGUUCACGUGGUUGGAGUAUGAUUUUUUUCAACGGCUAAAUUUUCUAUAUUUGGAAUGCCAGCUCAUUUUUUAGCUAAAGAGUUUGUAUGGUUGGAGAUGCGAACAACCAUAUAAUUAUAUCUUAUUCUAACAUAUGGAGAGCAAAACACUAGCAUAAAUGAAAGUAAAAUUUUUUGCUCACAAAAGUUGAGUAUAAAAUCUUAUAUAAAAUGAUGUGUUAAUUUUGAUUGGAACAAACCCUAUAUUUACAUAAAUAAAAUCAAUUAAAAAUGGGCAAUGCUAGAGACCCCUAAAAAAAUUCUCAAAAAUCUUUACCAAAUGAUGUGGCAAACAAGUGGCUAGUUAUGAUUGGGUGAUUGAUGAAUCUGCAGGGGGACUCAUUAUUAUGGGAGAGAAUUCAGCCAAUCAGAUUUGGACACAUCAUUUGGGAAAAUUAUUUGGAACAAUUGUUUGGGGUCUUCAGCAUUUUCCAUUAAAAAUAUUUUAUCUCAAUUACAUGUCAUUUUAUACAAAAUUUUAUACCUAUUUCUAUAUAUAGCACUUCCGAUCAAAACAUGCACUCUUAUUAUUAUACCAAGACUACCGAGUCUUUAAUGUAUAAUGAAGCGCUAAUGAUAUUCUUUUUUAAAUUGAUACCUAAUCCUUGUUAAAUAAAUUUGAUACCUAAUCCUCCUUAGAGAUGGACUGCCAAAUUAUUUAAUUAAACUACUGCUUACUUUUGUCUUUUGUCUUUUGGGGAUAUUAGACGACUACAGGUCUGUACGAAUUAUUGAUAGUCAUUUUGUGUUUUUAAUAUACUAGUUUAUGACCGGUCCAAGCACGAGAUUAUAUAAAUUUUUUAAAUUUAUUAUUUAUUGGAAUUUAAUAUUUUUGAUAUAUUAUUUAAAUUAUUAUUGUCGAGAUACAAAACUUAUUACAUUUACAUACUCAUAUUUGAUUAUGUUUAAAUUUUAUUUUUCCAAAAAAAAUAUUCUCAUAAUAUAUAUUAUGAGAUGAAUUUAUUCCAAUAAUACAUUUUAUUUAAAUAAAAUCAUUAUAUUGUUUUUGAUUCUAAAUACAUGGAAAACAAUUCAACACCAGCAUAUAUAAAUUGACUGAGAGGGUAUUCAAUCUUUAGUACAACUUAAUUUUUAAUUCAUAAUUAUAUUUAGACGUUUAAUAAAUAUUAUUAAGUGUAAUGCUAAUUGAAGUUCUUGUAAAUUUAAUAUUUACAUCACGGAGUGUCAAGUGUGACCCUCAGGAAGUGGUACAAGAGACAGAUGGUGUAUGUUGUGCUUAUGGUGGCCUAUUUGAAUGCGCAAUUCUGCACAACUCUUAUGCAAGUAGAAAUCUCAGCAUAAUAUGCAGUAUGUCAAUAAUAUAAAUUCUAUCUAUUAUAAAUUGGCUGCUCUGUAGACAAAAAAAGAAUGUAGAUUAAAACAUCAAAAAUAUCCGGCAACUGGCAUGAUGAUAAAAACAUGUAUAUAGUCCUCCUUAUGAUAAAAAAUAUCCUGAAAUCAUUGAGGGAAGAGAUAGAUGAUCAUGAAAUUUCUUCUGCAUUAUUUUUGUGACAGACUUAUCAAGGCAUGUUUUAAUUGCAAAUCGCAAUCACCUUUCACAUACGGCUAUAUGAAAUACUAUUUGUCUUCCAACCGCGUGGAAUAUUGAUGGAAUAUAUUAAGGUCCUUACUAUGGUGUAUUAUAGCCGGCUAUGCAAGCUGGAAUAAUUCUUUUGUUCUCUCUAGUUGAGAGGAAAUGAUUUUCUCUGUUUGACUAAGAUAUAUGAUCAACUGGAGUUCGACAUUCAUCUGUCGACACUGGAGCUCUUCAUAUUGUUUUCAAUGACAAAGGGUACAGCGUACAAGCAAACGAAAUGAAGCAAAUGAACAGAAAAGUGCACAUUUUAAAGAGAAGUACAAUAAGUUCAGUGGAGAUCCCAAAACAUCUGAAUUUUAUAGAAGUGCAAUCUGUUGUAACUUGCCCGAGAGUGGACAUUCCAAGCAUGCAAGAAGUCCACAACCAUCACAUUCCAGAAGAAAACAGUAGGUGCUGUAAUAAGCGAAGCACUGUGAACAACUGUGUAUGGGCUUCUUUCUUGUAGGCGUCUUCAAAACUAAUGCAAGUGUGUGUGGUUUAUCCGAAAUAAUAACUUUAAUUGUCCCUCCUAACUUGACAUUGUUGAGCCAAAACCCGCAAUAAUAGUGAUAAGAAUGUUCAGAUUCACUGCAAUGGUAGAGCAACUCCUGGUUGUUAACUCGUUCCUCACAUAUUUCACAGUAGAAUGCUCCCUCGUAGAAGAAUGGUGGAUAUCUCAAGGUUAAGGGGUGAGCAUCAUAUUUGUGUUCCAUCCUACUUGGUAUUAUUAUACCACACAUAUUAAUCUGGAAACUGCUGCAGGUUUCACAUCCAUAUUCCACCCCAACCUGAUUUCGACACCUGGUUACACUGCAGGUAGAAUUCGAAGCUGGCCGCUGAACAAGGGAGUGAUUCUUGUGAGAUUUGUAUUUUAUUCUGGUUGGUAAGAAUGCACAACGAAUAUCAACAAAUAUAUCACAAGUCGGGCAGUGAUAGUAGA
rnacentral:lncRNA from 1 species